rnacentral:lncRNA from 1 species
AAGGAAGCAUAAGGCUGAAGGUGAAUGUUCACUUGUGUAUUAAUGCAGCCCUUACAGCUCUGGGCCAAAGACAUGUCAAAUUAGGCAAUCACUUUAUUAUCUAAAACUGAGAAUUUGUGCCUGCAGAAACUCAGGUUAAGUUGCCCUGACCUGAGCAAGUCCAACAUGCAAAAUAUCAGCUCUGUGCAAUGUCAGAGGAGGAGAAGAGGGCUCAGCCCCACCUGGAUGGGAUGUUGCAGCUCCAGCCCAACAGGCUGUUCAGGCCAGUCAUGGGGCUAAUUUUGUAUAAAAGGAAACACAAAAAUGAAGUCCUAAAAUGCCAAAAGUAGAGGUAAUGCAGUGACUCAGCCAACAGGUCCAGUUCCCUGCCUUGCUCUGGUCCACCACAAAACGUGCUCCAGGUCUGCUGAGCUCUCAGCAGAGAACCAACCCAACGAAUGUCAGAGCUCCUCGAGUGGUGACAGACCUGCACGUGCUUUGCUCGUUUGGGCCAGAGACAGUUCAGUCAUCACCUUGCAAUGCUGACCUCUCAGGUACAGUAAGACUUUGAUUCUCAUCUUGUCUUUGGCCUUCCAUCCCUUUUUAAAGAAAACUGUUACCUCCUUCAUAUAAGAAUGCUGUCAGUACAUUGGGAUAUCACUUAUCCCAAACUUUGUUAAUGAAAAGAAAAAAAAAAAAAAGAAAAAAAAAGGGAAAAAAAAAAAAAGAAGAAGAAGAAGAAAAAAAGCAACACACAAAACUAUACAAAAUCUGAUUUCAGUACAGAAUACAAAUGCAAAUAACACCUGCAGUGAACAAAGAACCGGUUUUCAUCUGUGGUAACAUGAAAUCUCUCCUGAAGCCUUGGCCCACACUCUAUUAUUGCUACGGUGCUUUUCCAGAGGAGAUAUGCAGACACUGCUCAAGAAAUCACUGAAUCAUGGGUUAGAGGGACCUCAAAGCCCACCCAGUUCCAACCGCCUGCCAUGGGCAGGGAUACCUCCCACCACACCAGGUUGCCCAAAGCCCCAUCCAGCCUGGCCUUGAACACCUCCACUGAUGGGACAGCCACAGCUUCUCUGGGCAGCCUGUGUCAGUGCCUCACCACUCUCUGAGUGAAGAAUUUCCUCCUAACAUCUAAUCUAAAUCAACCCUCUUUUAAUUUAAAAUUAUUCAAAGGCAAAGUGUUGUUUUGAGCAAGCUAUGGACCAUCACGAUGAGGCAGGAAAGAUGUUAAGAGAGAACAGAAAUGCAUAUGACCAGGUGGAAGGGAUCGUGGGAGGGUUUUCUACUGCUUUGAAGUAGUUCGAAAAUUAUGUUCCUACAGGUAAGAAAACCUUUCCUAAGAUUUUAUGCCGAUUCCUCUUGUGUCCCUCAAGGGUUAAGCCACUAGCUCAGCUCCUGCAGAUGGGGCUGAGUUCCAGGGAGUUUGUGUAAGCCUCUGGGGGCUUGAGAAAUCAGAGGCAAACAGUUUCAAAACCAAGGCGGGCUGGGCUGCAUCGAAAGGAAGGGAUGAGGGAAGAGGUUGGAGCUUUGGUUGGCAGUUUUUAGGUCCCAAAACUAGACGUGGCCUAGGCUUUCUCCAGAUGCAGCUGGUUCAACAGCACUGAGGACCCGGCACCUGGGCCUGUUUCCAGCAGCCUGCUGUCCCUGUGGCCAGGGAUGGGGGCCAGUUCCUAGCACAAGACAUUGAGAAAAUCAGGCAGCUUUGUGUACAGACAGCUAAAAGCAAAUGUGUAGGUUCUGCAGCAUUAAUGUAAAUUUAUUACUGUAGCCAAAUGGUGCAAAAAGUGGUCUUUCAGGCAGACAGAUGGUGUUAAACUUGGCCCAGAGUCCGGGACAGAGAUUUUUCUUGUUUAAAUCAAAGGUUUUGCUGGCAUAACUAUGUUGUUUGAGACUAUGAAGAAUUCAUACCACUAAUCAGCGUAACUAUAUAU